AGCAGCCGCGGUAAUUCCAGCUCCAAUAGCGUAUAUUAAAGUUGUUGCAGUUAAAAAGCUCGUAGUUGAAUUUCGGGGUUUAUCCGUUGGUCGGGCUUUUGGGUCUGUACUGGCGUGAUGGAUUCCUACCUUCUGAAUAACCAGCAUGUCAUUAAUUUGGUGCGUUGGGGAAGCAGGACUGUUACCUUGAAAAAAUUAGAGUGCUUAAAGCAGGCUAUUGCCUGAAUACAUUAGCAUGGAAUAAUGAAAUAGGACGCAUGGUUCUAUUUUGUUGGUUUCUAGGAUCACCGUAAUGAUUAAUAGGGAUAGUUGGGGGCAUUAGUAUUCAAUUGUCAGAGGUGAAAUUCUUGGAUUUAUUGAAGACUAACUUCUGCGAAAGCAUUUGCCAAGGAUGUUUUCAUUAAUCAAGAACGAAAGUUAGGGGAUCGAAGACGAUCAGAUACCGUCGUAGUCUUAACCAUAAACUAUGCCGACUAGGGAUCGGACGAUGUUAAUUUUUUAAUGACUCGUUCGGCGCCUU
rnacentral:rRNA from 1 species